rnacentral:rRNA from 1 species
ACGAUGAAGAGUUUGAUCCUGGCUCAGGAUGAACGCUAGCGGCAGGCUUAACACAUGCAAGUCGAGGGGUAGAGGCUUUCGGGCCUUGAGACCGGCGCACGGGUGCGUAACGCGUAUGCAAUCUGCCUUUCACAGAGGAAUAGCCCAGAGAAAUUUGGAUUAAUGCCUCAUAGCAUUGCAAAAGGGCAUCCUUUAGCAAUUAAAGUCACAACGGUGAAAGAUGAGCAUGCGUCCCAUUAGCUAGUUGGUAAGGUAACGGCUUACCAAGGCAACGAUGGGUAGGGGUCCUGAGAGGGAGAUCCCCCACACUGGUACUGAGACACGG